rnacentral:RNase_P_RNA from 1 species
AGGCCGGUCCGUGACGAUCGCUGGUCGCCAUGCCGCUCCGGCGGUGAUGCGCGGUCAGAGGAAAGUCCGAACUCCACAAGGCAGCGUGCCUCGUGAAAGCGAGGGAGGCGGAGGGCGCAAGCCACCGCCGACGGACAGUGUCGCAGAAAACAAACCGCCACCCGCGUCAGCGGGACCGGCAAGGGUGAAAAGGCGAGGUAAAAGCUCACCGCCCCGAGGGUAACCGAGGGGGCACGAAAAACCCCGCGCGGUGCAAGACAGAACAGGGCAAAAUCCGGGCCGCCUGCCCGGGUCCGCUUCGGCGGAAUAAGCCCGGGUAUUGGUCGCACCCUGCUCACAACAGGGAGUCCCGGCUUCGGUCGGGGCUAGAAAAAUGAUCGUCCAACCCGCUUCGGCGGGGGGAACAGAAUUCGGCUUACGGGACCGGCCUUCGC